CACUACCCUUUUAAGAGCGGAAAAUAGUCUUUUUUUAUUAAUUUUGAUACUUUUUUAUUUUAUUUUUUAAUACCAAUGAAAAUAAGAGAUAUAAAAAAGAUAUGUGUCAUGAGUGAGAAAUAUUUUUUAUUUACAUAAUCUUUUUCUUUAAAACAAAUCGUGUUUCCGGUACGGAUCGUGUAGCGACAGAGCGCUUUGACGCCGCCAUAUUGGACGUGGCAAGACCGCCCUAUAAACACAUCAACAGGAAGCAGUGGUCUUUCUGGCAGAAAAAAACACAAUAACGAACAUUUCACAACUGAUUUCAACGUUAUGGUUUAUCUCGAAUACAAAAAUGUAUGUCUCCAGUUAUAAUAUUGGUGCUAGACAUGAACAGUUAUAGCUUUUACAAGAAGACCAGAGGGAUAAUAUCAGUGAAAGCCACUCAUUGUUCUGUUAUUAAUCUCCUACCGCCAUUGGCCCUUUCAUAAAAGGAAUGCCGACCGUUUGAUCUGGACAGUGGUGGAUCUUCAGUAGGAAUAAUUGCAUGUUGACUCUGUCGGGAUGGUUGGCUCAGAUGGGUUUAUGGGAGUAAUGAAUGCGCCAUCCUGUGAUAUAACAUCUGGUUCAUCACAACAAUGCUUGUCCUUUGGAUGAAAAAAUGAAGAACAUGUUGCCUUUAAUGAAGAGGAUGUUAGGAAUUUCAAAGGAAAUAACUUGAUGUAAGAAGUUU